CUAGAAAAGGCCCCGGGCAGCCCUGGGAGGGACUUCAUCAUCUGGCUCUGCAUCUGAUGGAAGCUGUGGCAGAGCCCGACGCUCCCCGAGGUUCAGACCCACAGGCGCUGUACACGCGUCUAGUCGGCUGGGCGAGGGGAGCUGGCGUGCAAGCCCGAAAGGUCUCACAAGUCUGCUUCACACUACGGAGGGCUCUCACAGUGCGGCUUCCAGAGAGCAUCUGAAAGCAAAAAUACAACGAGAGAGAAGAAGAUAAUUUGGGAGUAACCUGAGCCUGUCAGAAACUGGUAAGAUCCAAGAAACCAAUCCCUACUGACACUCAGGGCACCUUGUAAAUUCAUUUACUGACUCCAAAAUGGUCUCUUUCUUAUUGAAUAGGUUUUUUGGUUUUUUUCUUUUUGCAUAAACUUCUUGACUGUUAGCAACUUGUUUUUUAAAUGACGUUAGAGUGCUCUCUUUUAAUUGGUAAAAAACAAUCUCUUGCAUCAUGAAGGAUGUCAUUACAGGACGCAGACCUCCCCUCAGUAUCCAGUUUCCUCCACAGACACUUAGGUAGGAAAGUGGGUCAGAAGGGCCCAUCAUCCCAGUCAUAUUCUUUCUUGUAUGUUUAAUUCAACAUUGUUUUGUACUUAUAAGGAAUUGUUACACUAAUCAUCGUUUUGCCAAAUUGGCCAUAAUAUAAUCCACCUACCACUGACCAACUACAGAAGAAAAAUUAAACAAACGUUUUGCUGUUGUUAUCCUUUUUUUCCUAGGGGUUGAGCUUCUGAAGCCAGGAGGUCACUUGGAUUAUGUAUACAACUUUGGUAAUUGCAUUCCUAGAUUCUACAAAAUGCCAUGGCACUCACUGGAGUCCAAAAUAGCUAUUGCAAACAAUGACAAUUACUGCCCAGACAUUUUCAAACACAG
rnacentral:lncRNA from 1 species